rnacentral:rRNA from 1 species
GAUGAACGCUAGCUACAGGCUUAACACAUGCAAGUCGAGGGACCGGCGCACGGGUGAGUAACACGUAUCCAACCUGCCCUUUACUCGGGGAUAGCCUUUCGCAAGAACGAUUAAUACCCGAUGUAAAGGAUGGGGAUGCGUUCGAUUAGGUUGUUGGUAAGGUAACGUCUCACCAAGCCAUCGAUGGAUAGGGGGUCUGAGAGGAAGGUCCCCCAGAUUGGAACUGAGACACGGUCCAAACUCCUAGGGGAGGCAGCAGUGAGGAAUAUUGGUCAAUGGGCGUUAGCCUGAACCAGCCAAGUAGCGUGAAGGAUGAAGGCUUAUGGGUCGUAAACUUCUUUUAUAUAAGAAUAUGUAUUAUAUGAAUAAGGAUCGGCUAACUCCGUGCCAGCCGCCGCGGUAAUUC